UACAGAGACUGCAAGCGUUAUUCGGAUUCACUGGGCGUAAAGGGUGCGCAGGCGGCCGUGUGUGUAAGGUGUGAAAUCCCGGGGCUUAACCCCGGAACUGCGCCUUAAACUACAUGGCUAGAGUACUGGAGAGGGUAGCGGAAUUCACGGUGUAGCAGUGAAAUGCGUAGAUAUCGUGAGGAACACCAGAGGCGAAGGCGGCUACCUGGACAGUUACUGACGCUCAGGCACGAAAGCGUGGGGAGCAAAA
rnacentral:rRNA from 1 species